AUGGACAAUGAUUACGCCAAACUGGGCCUGAGCUUGGUGGUGCCAGGAGGAGGAAUCAAGAAGUCACCAGCAACCCCCCAGGCCAAGCCCGACAGCGUGGCCCCUGCAGCCCCUGAGGAGGAGGAAUCAAGAAGUCACCAGCAACCCCCCAGGCCAAGCCCGACAGCGUGGCCCCUGCAGCCCCUGAGGAGGAGGAAGACAAAUACUCAGGUGGACUGUGCUAGUAUUUUGCUUACAACAAGAAAAGUGAAAAAGGAAGGGAAAAAUUUGACAUACCAUUUUCAUGGACCUGGGACUCAUUGAAAGUUAUCUCAACUUCCUUGAGAUCGUGAUUUUGAAUACUAAUAAAGAUGAUUCUUAGUUACCAUUUCCCAAAUCAGCCAUUGUAUCUACUAUGUGAUGCAUUUUCUUUUCCAUUGUAAGAACAGGCAUUAGCAGAAUAUGUACUGUCAUAUUUUAAUCCCGUUGAUUUUAAAAUUUGCAAGCCAAAUUCUAGAAAAAUAAGCUAAACAAAAGGGCCGUAGGCAUUGGUACUCUUCCUCUCUGGUGUUCCUGUAAUUUAUUGUCAGAGGAUUUCUUUGUAUUUUAUUUAAUAUUGCUGCUAAAAGUGAAGUUUACCAGUAAAAGAAUUGUAUUAAAAACUUACUUUGUUUUGAAAAGGAAAUUUAUCCGUCCUGAUACUAGAGGCAUUUAAAUUUUAGAUCUUUUUCGGAGAUGAGAUUGAGACGAAGCAGUUUUGAGACUUGGGGUGCAUAUAUAAGAUGCAUAUAAGCUUUUGUAUGUGACUUUACAAAAUGUUGGAAGCAUUCUGUGAAGGCAAUUCUGUUUCCAGUAUUCUCUGCAUGUGGGAGAUACUUGCAUGUACAGAGGCACAGUGACUGCCUGGAGACCUGCUCAGCUCCUGACCGUUCGGAAGCCAGCAUCCUGCCUACAUUGUGAGAAGAUAGUCGAAUUCCAUCAUCUUAACGCCUGUGUCUCUCCCUCCAGAGCAUGGUUUCUGGUUCGCUUGGAGUUGCAGCUAGAUGAUUACUGAACACGGGAAAUAGCAUACUACAAAGUUUUGGCUGAAAAGGGAGAAUUGUAUUUGAGAGACAUGUGUAAAACCCUGGGCUGCCAGUAUUCUCAUACUUAGUGGUGUCCUGACAUGUUAAUUUUGAAGCAUUCCUUUUGCACCCUGUGUAGCUUAGACCUGCCUCAUUGCCUGUCACCUGGAAGGAUAGGACAGCAGUAGAGUGGCCCUGCACGCCCUGCCAGCGCUGCCCCAGAGCUGCUUUUCUCUCCAUUCAGCCCCAUCUGGGUCCCUUUAGACUCCUCCCCUAGCAGAACCCAGCCUGCUUUGUUUCGCUGGGCUUCCUGAAACACUCAGAAGAGGGUACUGGUGACCCUGGCCACAGCUGUGCUCAGAGGGAGCCCCUAUCUGUCUCCCAGUGAGGGUGUAUGACUUCACCUGGGGUGCCCCUGAAGUUACCUGCAGCAGGUGGCAGCUCAUUUUUACUCAUUGUACUGAGAUUGUGAGCAGUCUGAAAAUGACUGUAUUUAGCAUUUUUAUUUAAGGAGAAGUUAAGCUUUCUAAGAUCUCAUCACUGCUGCAUGUACCCUUAGGUCUAGUCAGAAACUUCUGGAAUCUUCUGCUAAGGCUCCUUUGAGCAAACUAGUAAUCCAUGUGAGCAGAUCGGCAGCACUCACAGAUGUGUGGGCUUUCUCUUUGCACAGCAUGCUACUCAGUACAGCCUGUGGGGCCAGGAAUACUUAGUUUUACACACUGUAAACAAAGGGGAAUGAUCCCAGGCAUCAUGGAGCAGCACGCUGCUGACCUUUGAGCUGCAGGGGACACCCCUGUCCCACCCUGCACCCUCAGGCUGAACAUGCCAACUUCCGGAGAGCUCCUCCAUGUCAGGGUCGUCCUCUGUGGGUCUGUGAAGAGUUUUUGUUCCACACCUACAUGUUUUAUUUUUCCAUCUGCAUAAGUCUCAUCCUGAGAGCAUAGUCAGAAAACGAUGUUUACAAAAAUAGUUGUUUUCCAGAACUCUAGUGUCCUCACUUUACCAAAAUGAAAGUCUGCAUGAAUAUGCUCAGAAUCUAGUACCAGUGUUCUAUAUAGUAAGUAGUAUACAAAGUAUAUUUAAUAUAUUGAAUUAUUUGUACAUAUGCAGAGUAUGGUGUUUGUGUAUGGAAUCUGCUGUAUUCCUAUUUUUUCCAGCUCUUUGACAUUAAAUGUGUUGUUAUAGAAAUACAGAUUAUUGCUUCAAUCGGAAGAUAAUUAUGAAAAUGAAACAUGAAACUAAGACAAAAAAGAUGAUUUAAUCUUUGCAGCACCCUGUAAGACAGUUAGUAUAUUAGCUUUCCAUUGCUGUGACAAAAUCCUGAGGUAAGCAACUUAAA
rnacentral:lncRNA from 1 species